rnacentral:lncRNA from 1 species
ACCUAAUGUACCACAGCCCUUUACCCCAGGAGUCUGUCUGUGACAGGACCAUGGAGAGUUCAAGAGGAGCCAAGGCUUUCUUCUAUGACCACCUCUUCAUCCAAGUCCAGUGGCAAGGCAAAAAUCAGGGUGGCUGAUGUUGGCUCAGGAGGCAGCAGAUGACCUUAGCUUCUUCCAUGUCUGAUCAAGCUCGAAGCAUUCCACAGCACCUGCUUCCACCACUUUUAUGGCCAUCAGAACAAAUUGUUCUCAUCUGCCCAUUCCACUGGGAGAAGUCUGCACAUGCUUCACGGUGUGUACAAAGGCAUGGAGAGCAGAUAUUCUUAGCUUUUGGGAGUCGUGAACUUCUUUGGCAGCUGUACAAGGACCCCUUCACAG